rnacentral:rRNA from 1 species
CAUCGAUGAAGAACGCAGCGAAAUGCGAUAAGUAAUGUGAAUUGCAGAAUUCAGUGAAUCAUCGAAUCUUUGAACGCACAUUGCGCCCCUUGGUAUUCCGGGGGGCAUGCCUGUUCGAGCGUCAUUUCAACCCUCAAGCUUAGCU